rfam:Hordeum vulgare subsp. vulgare, WGS project CAJW01000000 data, contig: morex_contig_166259
AUACUACUCCCUUCAUCCGAAAAUACUUGUCCUAAAAAUAAAUAAAAUGGAUGUAUUUAUAACUAAAAUAAAUCUAAAUACAUUCAUUACUAGGACACGUAUUUACGGACGGAGGGAGUAUAUC